CUGUAACUGACUGAACCUAAGAUGUAGUACCAGCUCUGACUUAACCCCAGCCAAAGGGCUGGGGCCUUGUAAGUAAAAUGAACAUUUAGCAAUUGUAAUAGCCAUUUGUGUAACAUUUAGUAACCUUUUGUAAGUAAUUUGUUGUAGUUUUGUAUUGUAUCAUAAUUGUAGUAAAUUGACAUUCUGCUAGCAUCUGUUUAUUUGUUAUAGUUAUAUUAAAUAUACAUUUAAUUAGUUUUGUAUUGUAUCAUAAUUGUAGUAAAUUGACAUUCUGCUAGCAUCUGUUUAUUUGUUAUAGUUAUAUUAAAUAUACAUUUAAUAUUACAACGUUUUGUGUAUUUUCUAUACACAUAUUCGACCAUAAUACCAUGAAUUAUAAAAAUAUUAAUGUUCCGUAUUGCUUAAUUAUUAUGUAUUAAGAGAUUAAUAUUCAUAUUUAGGUCAUGACCACAACAGUGCACAAUGUAAAUAAUCCACACUUUUUGUAUAAGAGACUGCUGUCCUCUACCUUUUAUCCUAGAGGACCGUGUUGCUUUGCACAUGAAAGGUCACAGCACAUUUAAAUUGGCUCACUUAUUUGCUUGAUUUGCAUGAGCAAGCAUGGCCUUCUUAAGUACUUUUAUGGCCCUGAACAAGGCCGAUAUCUGUACUCUGAUCUUACAGGACUCCUCCACCAUUAAAUUGGUGCUCAAUAUAUUACAUUUUGAGUUAGGAUUGGUUAUGCUUUUAUAAAUUGGUGUGGAAUGUCUAGGAUCCUAACUGGACCAACAAUCUUUCAAAAACCUUAUACUUUUUUGUUUAAUAUGCAUAUUUCUAGCCACUUGGAUGGAACAAAAUGGUGGUGCCCAGAUAUUCAGAUCUGACUUGAGGACAGAAAGAUAAUAAAUAUAUUUAAAGGCAAGUAUAAUCACAUAGAUACAGUGGGCAUAAGGAAAGGAGAACUGAAAAAAAAAAAAAGAUAAACAUGGCAGUAUUCUUUCCACAUUCUAUGUUAAUAGUAACAAAGAGAAACGCAUCUUCAGCUGUGGAAUUCUCAAUUCCACCUAUAGGUAAAGAGUGUUUCUCAGAGGAAGGCCGCAACUAAGAAAAGAGACUGAGUCAUAAAAUAUUAAGGGGCAGCUCAGAACACGUUCCAUCCCUUACACAAUAGUUAUAUCAACGCUAGACAAUCCCAGACUGUUGGGUUGGUGCUCUUGAAGGCUAGGCUAUUGGGUAGGUGCUUUAUGAAGAUUUUUUUUUUUUUUAUGUUAUGCAAUGUGGGAGUUAUACGGUGAGAUGUUCAUAUACACUUACUGUAUAAAAAAUAUACACUUAUUUUACAAGUAACUUUCUACUAGGUGUACGUUAAUUAAUAGGAACAACAAAACAAUUUGCACUUGGGUGAUCUGUAUAAUAGGAUGUUAUUGGGUUGAUUUAUCCCUUUGGGUAAAAGUGCAAUCAUGAUUACAUUCUUAGAUUCUCAGGGGUUUGAUCAUCUGGAAAUUGAUUAAAAUACAUAGGGGCAUAGCCAGGUAGAACGAAAAUGCUUAUCUGCAAGAAAGUCAGUUUCCUUGCCUGCAGCGUUUACAAAAUGGGAACAUCUUUGAUAGGCAAACUUUGCGACAUUGGGUAUUUACAUAUAAUUUAGUGUUGCUGCUGAAUGCCAAAAAAUAACUCGAGGCUAUGGCAUUUAAUUAAACCGUGUGAGAUGCUUAUAACUUUCUUAAUUACUUGUUCAAUCAAUUAUUGCUCAUCUAAUAUAAAAAGUUACUUAAUUAAAUACUGAACUAAGAAAAAGGAAAAAUAUAUACCACUGUGGUUUGAUGUAGGACACUGGUAGAUUUUUUAUUUUUUAUUUUUGUAUUUACUUUUUGAUAAACUGCUACAUGAAGAAUUGGACAAAAACGAUUUCACUGUUGAAAGUGUUUUCCUAAUUCUAGUAUAUUAAUUAAUUUUGUGAAUUACAUACAUGGCUAUUUUUAUUAACUUUUUCCCAGUCACAGUUAUGAGUUGGAACUAGGGUUAGUAAGUACCAUGGACGGGUUAUUCAUACAAGAUAAAGUCACAUAAAUAAAAAGCAUCUUCUUACCCGAAUUAUAAGAUGGCAAGGCACCAUCAAUAUAUUCUCAACUCAAUAGUUAACUUAAUGAGUUUAUGGACAAGCAGAAAAAUAACUAAAAGUUAGCUAUUAGUUGUGCUUAGCUUUUUUUUUUUUUUUUUUAAUUCUUUGUCAUGACAGUGUAAGCAUUCAAUAUCAUAAAUGUAAUAGCAUAGUCAGGUAAGCCGCUCUAGAUAUGUCUGUACAAGGUACGGAAUGGAUCUGUAGACCUAGUCAUGAACCAGAGUUUUCUACUUUUAUAACCAGGGAAAGAACUUGGUAGAAGUGACAUAAAAAAGGAAGGAGGUGCGGGGUAACAAAAUUGUGAAAAACAGCAUUUCUGGCAUGGGAAACUUAAGAUACAGCAUUUCCCCAACAUUGUGACAAAGUAUCUCAAACUUUGUCGUUCAUUUUUGCUAUAACCACUGACAAAUGUUUAAGCCAUGUAGCAGCUAGAACCCUCUGGGCUGCAAGGGUAAUACUAUUCAACAGUUUUUGUUGAACUGUGGUGAGCCCCGGAAUAGGAUGGAAAAGCAGAAAGGUUCAUUUGUUGAUAUUAACGGAUCUACCAAAGGUAUUACAAAACAACCCCUUGUUCUCUUUUCAGUAAAAGAUGGUCUUAGGGCACAUCCACAACAUAGGAAUGUGGGAUUUAGCCAAAGUUGCAACACUAUAGCAAUGACAAAAAAUAAAAUAGAGAAUGAGCCUUAUCUGGUGAAACGCGUGCACCAGGUACUCACAUUUGCUUUCAUGAGUUAAAGGGACAGUCAAGACCCAUAAAACACUUCCCUUUGUGUGACCAGUGUGUAUACUUUUUUCAUUUUACAAACAGUGCAGAUUUCAAUAGAAAUUGGCACUUUUAGAAAUUAACCUGGCUACACCCCCCCGGCUGUGAAUCACAUAACAAGUUACCGUAUAUACUCGAGUAUAAGCCGACCCGAAUAUAAGCCGAGGCCCAUAAUUUUACCCCAAAAAACUGGGAAAACGUAUUGACUCGAGUAUAAGACUAGGGUGGGAAAUGCAGCAGCUACUGGUAAAUUUCUAAAUAAAAUUAGAUCCUAAAAAAAUUAUAUUAAUUGAAUAUUUAUUUGCAGUGUGUGUAUGAGUGCAGUGUGUAUGAGUGCGCAGUGUGUGUAUGAGUGCAGUGUGUGUUUGUGUUGCAGAGCCUUGGUGGGGGGUGGGCAUUUUUAUAAAAAAAAAAACAUUAAUAUUUUAAUUUUUUUUGUUAUAUUAUUAUUUUGUUAUAUUAUUUUUUUAUUAUUUAUAUUAUUAUUUAUAUGUAUAUAUUAUUAUUUUAUUAUAUUAUUAUUUUUUUAUUAUUUUUUUAUUAUUAUUUAUAUUUAUAUUAUUAAUUUAUUUAUUUUUUGUCCCCCCUCCCUGCUUGAUACAUGGCAGGGAGGGGGGCUCUCCUUCCCUGGUGGUCCAGUGGCAUUGGCAGUUCAGUGGGGGGAGGAGGGGGGCUGGCAGAGCUGUUACUUACCUCUCCUGCAGCUCCUGUCAGCUCUCUCCUCCUCCGCGCCGGUCCGUGCAGCUCUUCUGUCAGCUCACACUGUAAGUCUCGCGAGAGCCGCACUAUGACCCCGCGGCUCUCGCGAGACUUACACUGGGAGCUGACCGAGGUGCUGACCGGACCGGCGCGGAGGAGGAGAGAGCUGACAGGAGCUGCAGGAGAGGUAAGUAACAGCUCUGCCAGCCCCCAGUCUGUAUUAUGGCAAUGUAAAUUAAUGUAAAUUGCCAUAAUACAGACAGUGACUCGAGUAUAAGCCGAGUUGGGGUUUUUCAGCACAAAAAAUGUGCCGAAAAACUCGGCUUAUACUCGAGUAUAUACGGUAUGUUACUUCCUGGUUUGGUUAGCUCAGUGGAGCUAAAGUCAAGAGGCAACAAUUGCCCAAAGCACAUGCCUUGCAAAGAUUUAUCAUUGAGCUGUAUUGGGGAGUCUGUUAUUGGACCGCCACAGAAAGUCUGAGUGGGGUUAGAAAGAGAGGACUUGCAAAGGUUUUAGACUGUCAGGAUUACCACAGAAAGAGAGCUUCCAGCUGAAGUAGAGAUGGGGAGUGGAGCAUGGUGAACCCCAUGUAAGAGGUCAAACAGCUUUAAAAUGGUUUUACUACUUACAGUGUGGGGGGCAUGUUUGUGUACUACAUUACUCAUCAUUUAUCAUUUACUCCAUUUGAAUGCCUUACCCCCCUUUAGUGUAUAUCUUCAUUUUAAUUGUCUUACCAUUUUUUGCUCCAUUGGUGUCUCUUGUCCCCUUUUUGUGUCUUACUUCUCUUCUGUAUCUUUUACCCACAUUGUGACUCUAACCGCUCUUGUGUCACUUACUCCUUCCCCUGUGUCUCUUACUCUUUCCCUUGUGUCUCUUUAGACCUACUUGUCUCUUUCCCUCCCCCUUGUGUCUUUUCCAUGCGAAAGAAUGCAGGGUGAGAAUUUUUAUGCAGACAUUCUGUGAACACGUGUGUUUUUUAUAUUUACUUUCACAGCAUAACUCACUCCAUUAAUACUUCAAUAACUUUUUCUAGGGAGAGUAAUAGUGGAACUGUUAGCUUGAAGGUAAGCGUUUCUCUUUAAUACACAGUGCUCCAGAGAGCCGCCUUCAUAAGAUAGGGUCGCCUAGACUGUACAUCCAAGUUGUGGCUUGGACAUAAAAUUUUAAAAUGAUAGAAGAUUUUUCCCUGGAAAAUAGGGGAGGGAGAGCGUGGCUGAUGCCCAGCGUUGGGGGGUGAUCCCCAGGUAGAUACAUGGUUGCAAAUGGGCACCAGGAGAUAAAAAGGGGGGAAGGGAGGAGGGGCCUUACCAGUCAGCACAGACAAGUUGAGGGAUCGUGACUUUCCCACCCUCCUUCCCAGUAGUAGAUUUGAUUGUGUUCUGUUUCUGGUGUCGGUGUCUUUGUGUGUUCUUUUGUCACAGCUUGCGGUUCUUCCUGGCCAGCGGAGAUACAAGGGAUGAAAACGCCAAGGCAGCUUGGGGAGUCGCAGUCUGCCGGGAGCUGAUGGCGGGAAGCAGGCUGCUCUGAACUCUUGGAGAAUGGUGUAGAGCUGUCUGUUGGAGAACACCCCAACAGCUGACAGAGGAAUUUGCUGGCUUGAUGUUAAUGGUUAAAUAAAGCUGUGGCUGUUGCUCUUACCCAAAUUAUUCAGGUCUGGUGUGUUUUUACUUGGGGGAAUCGGGGGAAUAAAGUUAUAUGGGUUAGCAGUCAUGAUAAAAUUAUUUUAAAAAGGUAGCUUUGUUUCAUCAGAAGAGGAACCUCAAAGAGUUUAUGGCAAUUCAAAUAACUUAUUGUGACAAGUGUAAGUAGCAAUAAAAGCCUGGUAUUUGUCCACAUACCAUUUAAAACAAUUAAAGUAACACUCCAAGCGCCAUAGCUACAACAAUCUGCCGCAAUAGGUAUGGUGCCAGGUGUGUCCUGGAGUCCAACAAGUGUAAGUAGUGAAACUGUUUAAGAAUGCUUUCAGUCAAUGCAGGAAUUAGAAGUAGCUUCUGGCUCUGGAGGAGGAGGAGGAGGUGGUCGGUGCCCAGAGAACAACAGGUACACUUUAAAACUGUUCAUAAAUGGUUUACUACUUACAGUGGGAAGGCACCGGGGCACUUCUGAGAUAUUACCUGCCACACUGGGCUGUAGUGGUUUUGGUACUUGCAAUGUUCCAUUAAAUUAUUUUUGGUAGUUCGGUCCAGUGGGUAGUCGUCCAUCUUAAUUAAGGUGGGUUUAGAAUCUUUGCUACAAUAGAUUCAGAUCAAAGAGGUUGCACUCUAUAACAAGCAUGUCAAACUCACGGGCUGCAUGCAGCCCACAAUGAACCUUUUUGUGGCCCUGUGAACUGCGAGUUUGACAUGCUUAAUAAAGCAGAGUAGGCAGCUGCUCUCCCCACAUUGCAGGUGCCUACUCCUGUCAAAAUUACCUGGCCGGGGAGGAGACGUCUAUGGAGGGAGCUCAGUCUUCCUGCUCCUCACUGCUCGCGCGCGCCCUCUCUAGUGAUGCCUGGUACUGGAAUAUGACAUCAUUCCGGCACCUGGCAUCAUUAAACUGCACGCGUGAGGGCGCAGAGGGAGAGGCCCCACACCAGCUCCCAAAGGAAGGGAGCAAUAAAUAAAAUUAUUUGUGAGUGUGUGUGUGUGUGUGUGUGUGUGUGCAAAAAUGUGUGUGUUGCGAUUGCCGCGGCUGGACAGUGGAGGACCUCAAGGUGCACAAAGGCACGCAACACCACGUAACAUUCUGACAUGACGAUAACGUGGUCCACCUUCACAGGUUUUCAAGGAAUAGCAGGAGGAUCCGUUUGGCACAGGAUACAGACGGCGCCAUUUGGGGUUUACCAGAGGCUGGACUCAGGAGUUGCAUACUGACAGCGGCAAUGUGAGUGGAGUCUGCUAAUAGUGUUUUUUUUUUGUUUUGUUUUUUACAAGGGCUGGGGUUUAGUAUAGAGAAGGUUGCUGGGAUUUAGUAUGGGGGACUGGGAUUUAGUACAAAGGUGGGGACUGCAGAGGGGGAUUUUUUUUUUUUUUUAUACUGUACUUUUCAAAACAAACCUACGUUUCUAUGAAAACUUAAGGUUUUGUUGUUUUUUGGCGGCCCACAUAAACUUAAGUCUUGUUUAUAUUGCCCAUGCUAGCCUUUGAGUUUGACAUGUUUGCAGUAGAAUCUCAGACACACCCAUGGAUAUUUGAUCUUUAUCAGUGAGGAGAAUAGGUUGAUUUUAAUAUGAAAAAAGUCUUGUUCUCCCAGGCCUUUGUGAUACCACAAAGGAAUACUGGAUCAACAGACAUAGACAAACAGAAAUCUGUUUUCUUUAAUCUGUUCACAGAUACUUUUUAUUUUGAGCCUGUUUAAAUGACCUCAUAUGGCUGUAUGGUAGAAUUAGGCAUGCAAAUGUAUUGUUUUUAAUGAUGGUCGUAAACUGAGUGUCCUAAUGUGCAGAUUAAAACUGGCAGAUCACGUUGUGGGAGUGACUCAAUUAACAUUUGUUUUACCAAUGUUUAAGCCUACCCAGGGCUGUCUUUAACACUGGGCUAAUGGGGCAGCUGCCCUGGGCCCAGUUACUCCUGGUUAGCUCCAGAGCAGCUGCCCGCAAUGUAUUUGAGCCCCAUGGACCCGGCAGUGCGGCUGCACACAAAGGAAGGAAGCCCAUGCACUAAGGGCCACUCGGUGGGUAUGUGUCAGCAGGGGCCCGGUCGGGCACUGUGCUGCUUAAGCAGCGCGACUGGGAGGAAGUGACUGCCACGAGUCACUUACUCCCACAGAGAGUCCGGAUGUCUGUCUGUGUGGGUCAGUGUAUGUGUCAGUAUGCCUGUCAGUAUAUCUGUCAGUGUGUGUCUGUGUUAGUAUGUCUGUCUGUUGAUGUGUGUGUCAGUAUGUCUGUCAGUGUGUGCGUGUCUGAGUGCGUCUGUCAGUAUAUAUGUGUGUGUCAGUCAGUGUAUCUGUCAGUGUUUGUCAGUAUGUGUGUGUCAGUGUAUCUGUGUGUCAGUAUCUCUGUCAGCAUAGGUGUCUGAGUAUCUGUUUGCUGUCAUUGUAUACACCCCUGCAUUUAACCUUCAACACUUUAUACAAGCACACUCCUUCAUUGAAACGACAAUACAUACAAAAACACCUCUGUGGUAAACACCAAAAUUACAUAUAAACACACCCUUGCAUUCAAACACCAACGCCACAAACAAACAUAAUCCUACAUUCACGCAAACAUACUGUAUACAAAAAGAUGCUUACCUUCAAACACACAAACACGGAUCAGUGUUAAAUACAAUCCUGCAAGCAUGGGAAAAUGUAGAGCCCCAGCUGUCAAAGCAUUGUUAGAGCUGCACGGCAGAUGGGAUCUACCUUUUGGCUACCCUUGUGAUAAGAGGCACAAAAAAUAAUUUCACCAGGGCCCUCUCUAUUUUAGUGCCAUAACUGUGAUGGGGUGUAGGGUGCCAUCACUGUGAUGGGGUGCCAGUGAGCAGGAGAUGGGGACAGGGUCCAGGGGGCCCAAGCUAAUGCUUGCCCAGGGUCCAUUUAAUAUUAAAGACGGCCCUGAGCCUACCUCAGCUGAGGUCCAUGACUUUUCCUCCUUGCUAUCUGAAAUAUUUUCUCACACCAAGACAAAACUGUUAUCUUAGUGCUACUCUGCCUCACUUACACCCAAGCAGAGUGCCACUAAACCUCUCUUAGAGGUGGCCAGAGGUGGGAGAUGGUCAUUGGUCGCCAUUACCCAAAGUAGAGUUGACUGAAAGUGUUUCAUUCUCCUUGUGUAUUAACAAAAUGGACCAAUCAUGUAGAAAUGCAUUACAAACUAUUGGUAAGAUGUAUCUCCCUUAGUCUUGGCAACAUAAAAUAUACCCAAAGGCGUCUCUGAUUUGUUGAAGGUGUGAAGGGGACACAGACACAUUAUUUCACAUCUGGUGGACUUGCUCCGAAGUAAAGCCACACUGGGAAUAGUGCUGCUGCAGUCAGUAGGAGAGGUUCAAGUUCCCAUUUCGCCUGACUAUUUUCUGCUUCUGCUAGUCCCAACCAGGAUCCCUGCAGAGUUACAUGGUUUAUUUCUACAUAUAUUUAUUGUGGCUCAGAUAUGCCAAGCCAGGUCAUGGAAGUCAGAUGAUCCUCCCACUCUGAUGAGUGUCAUAGAUGGCAUUAAUGAGAGCAAAACGUGGAACUCUAUGGCUUCCUACCUAAACCCAUCUGCUUCUUCUAUAAUAGCUCUAUGCCAUAGAAGGCAGGAAUAUAGUAGUACUAGAUUGAGGGACUAUGGAGCUUGGCUGGAUUUUGUGGAUUGAGGAAGACUGCAGGAGGGGAGGACGCUGAUGGGUAGUGUGGGGUAUUCCGCUUGUGGGCUGCCUUUGCAGGCUUUUCUUCAUUUUGAGACGCAUCAUUCUCUUUUAAUUUCCACUAAAUUCUAGUGCUAUGUUCUGAAUCAACAAUUCUAUGCAGGCCAAUGGGAUUUACUCUCUGUGUUAAAUGUUUUUUCGGGCACGUUAUUUUUUUCCUUAAUCUCGUGUAAUAGAGUGGGAGGAAUAAUACAUGCAAUCACCAUACCUUACAACAUUUCAAAUGGACAAAUAAUGACACUUUCAUUUUAGGAAAUGUUAUGUUAUCUGCUAAUAACAAUUUAUGCAACUAAAAUGUAAUUUAGAACAAGAAUGUAUCCUAUUUACAUAGACUGAUUUCUGAAUACAUUUAUUGGAGUUUAAGUACAUUAAUCUGAGUAUUAUUUAUCUGGAGCUGUUGUAAAAAUGAAAACACACCAAUAUGGAACUCCUAGAGGAUUGUUAUGUUAGAAAAGAGGGAAAUUGUGAUUUUAUCUUUAAGUUGUGUAGAUAAUUAUUUUAAUUCAGUUCCAGAGCAGUGUGGCAAUUUCUAUCCAGUUGGUACAGGACUAUGUAGAAGCUAUUAGUCAUUGCUUUGAAAUCCAACUUGAAAUUAAUUUGGAGAUGACUUUGCAAAUGAAUGGAGUCUGAAUUGAGCAAAUAUUCUCCAAUUUCCUUGAAGAGUGCUGUUUUUGUUUCUCCCUCCUCCUCCCCCCCCCCCCCAACUAAGUUGGAAACAAUAAAUUAGAGAUCAGCUAAUUAUCCAUUAUAAGUUAAAGGGACACUGUAGUCACCAAAACAACUGUAGUGUAAUAAAACAGUUUUUGUGUAUAGAUCAUGCCUCUGAAGUUUCACUGCUAUUUAGGAGUUAAAUCACUUUUGUUUCUGUUUAUAUGGCCCUAGUCACACCUGCCCUGACUGGCACAGCCUGCAUGAAAACAAAAUUGUUUAAUUUUUAAUCAGAUGUAACUUACUUUAAAAGUUUUUAUCUCCUGCUCUGUAAAUUGAACAUUAAUUACACACAGGAGUGUCCUGCAGGGUCUAGCAAUGUACUAACAUGGCAGGAGAUUAAAAAAUCUAAAUUAAAUAGAAUUUGCAAUAAAGGAAGUAUAAACAUUAGAUGACUCUUUACAGGAAGUGUUUAAGAGGGCUGUGCACGUCACAUGCAGGGAGGUGUGACUAGGGUUCAUAAACAAAGAGAUUUAACUCCUAAAUGGCAGAGGAUUGAGCAGUGAGACUGUAGGGGUGUGAUCUAUACACCAGAACUGCUUCAUUAAGAUAAAGUUGUUUUGGUGACUAUAGUGUCUCUUUAAAGUAUAAGGUAUUAGGUGACAGGUUGUAAAGAAGUAGCAGUCAAUCCAAUAUAUUCCUAGGAAACCUAAAGGAAAUAAUUAUGGGUUAAUUGGGUCCACACUAGUAGAUACCAUCAUACCAUUUUCUAAAUAUACCUACAGGUUUAGUGUGUUUUUAUUUUAUUCUUUGCUGUGGCAGGGAUGACUUUUUGCCCAUAUUCUUUUGAGACUUCCAAUAGAUUUAAGAUAAAGCUAAUUCUCUUUUGAAAAUUGAACUAUAUACAAUUAAAGGGACACUAUAGCAUUAGUGAAUAUAAACCUGUAUUCCUAAUGCUAUAGUGUACCACUCUUUAUUUAGAUUCAGUCUCCAGCCCCCUCAAACUAAAUAAAACUUAAAAAAAUAUAUAUAUAUUUUACUUAACUUUUUUUUUCCCAGCCCAGAGAUCAAGUCCCUGCAGCAGUUUAAUCUGCUUCUCAUAACAUCAGCAUUUAUGCCUCUAAGAGUCCAGACAUAGGCAACCUUCUGCAAUCCAGCUGUUUUGGACUACACCUCCCAUGAUGCUUUGCCAGCAUUAUGGGUGUUAAAGCAUUAUGGGGGCUAUAGUCCACAACAUCUGGAGUGCCUAUGCCUGGCUCUAGUCCAGUGCUUCUCAUGGAGUUUGACUCGGUUCUCACAGCAGAUGAGCCUCUAGUAGUUGUGUAGUAGACAGCAACUAAUAACAUAUAUUUAACCCUGCAAUGUUAGCAUUGCCAUGUGUACUAAAAGUCAAUACUUUACAUUGCAGGGUUAAAAUUAAAGGACCACGGCACCUAGACCAUUUCAUUGCCUUUAGUUGUCCUUUAUGUUUUGGACUUAAAAUCAGUAAGUAUCUAAGGCCGUUCAUACACCUUAGAAUGGAGAAAGAAACAUUGCAUUUAUACAUCAGAAGAUGCAAUUAAACACUUGCAAGUGUGGCUACUUCCAGUUGUUUCCUUUGCCUGUCUUCCUUCACAUUGGAAGUAUUUACUAUAGCAGUGAUGGCGAACAUUUUAGAGCUCGAGUGCACAAACCGCAAUAAGACAAAACCUUUUUUUCUCAAAGUGCCAACACGGCAAUUAAACACGACAAUUAUACACACUGAAUGUGUAUCUGUGAGUGUCAGUGUAUAUAUGUGAGUGCCUGUGUAUCUGUGAGUGUCACUCACUGACACACACCUACUCACAGAGACAUACUGACAGAGAGACACACACAUUAACUGACAGACACACACACAUUUACUGACAGACAUACACUGAGUGACUGACAGACACACACACACACACUCACUGACAGACAUACACUGAGUGACUGACAGACACACACACUUACAGACACACACACACACAUUAACUGAGAGACACACACUCAUACACAUUUCCCCCAACACUCACAAAUUACUAUUAUUAUAAAUUUUAAAAUUAACUCCACCCAGUCUCCGUGGGAGAACUGGAGUUGAUUCCUCACCUGGGGCCAGUGGGGCUGCAUGGGCUGCUUUUGCUGCUGGACAGGCAGGGAUGAACUGGCAGAGUAGGUGGCGAGGGAGCUCUGAUUUUCCUGCUCAGCUCCCUCGCAUGCCGCUUAGUGAUGCUGGGAGCCAGUCUUAAAAAAUGUCCAGCUCCCGGCAUCACUAAGCGGCGCACAAGGGACCCGAGCAGUAAGAGCUCAGGCUACAGUCCUCCCUCGCCGCAAGCCCGCAAAUCAAGCUGCCACCUGCCUCGGGGUGCCCAGAGGUGGCCAGCCGGACAGCUCUUGGGCCCCCCAGCACAUGAGGCAAACAAGGCAGUGGUGCACAAGGCAAAUGCCUUGUUAGCCUUGCAGUGAAUACACCGCUGGGCACCCUACCGGCGACCUAUGGCUGCGUGCCCACAGAGAGGAUUCGGCGUGCCAGCUGUGACACGCGUGCCAUAGGUUUGCCAUCACUGCGCUAUAGUGGGAAUUGUCAGGAAGUGAAUUUAAAGGGAAUUUCAAAAUUCGGGACAAAAGAGCAGAAAUGAAAACAGUUUUUUUUUUGGCUAUUGUGGCCUAAAUUUGACAUGCCUUUCAAUUCCUGACAAUUCAUACUUUAGCGCUGUGGCAUAGGUUGGUGCUAUAUAAGUGCCAAUAAUAAUAAUCAUCAUAAUAAUAGUAAAUACCCGUGUAAUAUAUUAUUCUAGUUGUGACAUCACUUCACUGAUAGCCUUACUUAGCGGAGUCAGGUCAGUUCCUCAGAUUUCCAUGAUUUUGCUAAGCUCUGAAUCUACUCACAUACUUGCAGCCCUCAGCUCUUCUAGUCCCCGGUAGUGUAAUAUAAACUGGUUACUACUGCUUUGACAGCUAGUUAUGCUUUUGGUGUUUAGUGUCUACUGGUAAUAUAACUACAAUGGCAACCCCCCAUAUAUGGUUGUUUACUAAUUUACUGAAUUUGUUUACAAUUGAGGUUACUGUCUCUUAAUUUAGAAAAUGUUACUUAGCUUUAAAGUUAUGAUGUAUCCUGUUACAUAUAGUUCAAUAGGUCAAUUUGUUUAUAACAUCUUCUGGAGUCUCUUUGCUCAGUAGAGUUUCUUGCAUUCCUCAUUGCCAUAACAUAUACUUUUGCUUUAUAAUACAACAAAAAUAGUUGCCAAAUCCUAAAAGCAUAACUAGCUGGCAAAGAAAUAGUAACCAGUAUAUCUUACACUACCGCGGACUAGAAUAGCCGAGAGCUCUAUGCUAACCCCUCUCUCCCACUGCACAUGGUUGAGGGAUAAAUAGACCUCUCGCCAAGUCCCUCUUAACUAUUUGCUCCCCAUUACAGGCCUAAGGUAGAGCCUCUUCCCACCUGCUCCAGUUACCACAUAAAGCCCCCAUUGGUAGAAAACAAUGCAAAUUUUAUAAACUUAACUGUACCUUUAAAAAAAAAAAAAACAUGUGUCUCUUCAAAGUUACAUGUGGCUCCUUUUGUUAUAACAAAAUUAGUGCCCUCUAGUGCUCUACAAAAGAAAAACUGAAAUCCUGAUUUACUGAUCAUUUAGAGAUGGCAAAUAUUUAGACAAUUAUGUGAAAACUAUAAUUAUAAACCAUGCACAAGUAAAAUUACAACUUAAAAUUGCCUGCGCUUUAUGGUACUUGACAGGGGUUUAUUCACUGAAAUGUAAUGAAUUGAAACUGGAUUGCAAAGUUUAGGUAAAAGAAGCUUAUUUGGGAAUAUUCUCCAACUCUGCUAAAAUCACAGUUUGGUUAAAUUAGUUUAAAUUCUGCAGUUCACUACAGCUUAGUGCAGUGGUAGGCAACCGUUGGCACUCCAGUUGUUGUGGACUACAUCUCCCAUAAUCCUUUACAGCCAUAAUACUGGCGAAGCAUCAAGGGAGAUAUCGCCCACAACAUCUGAUGUUCCGAAAGUUGCCUGCUUUUGAUUUCGUGUUUAGUGAAUUAAUCCUUUUUGAGUGUCUUUUAUUUUUUUAAUGAAUUUUUUUAAUUUUACUAUUUAAACUAUUAAAUUGAUAUCACGACUUGUAUGUUUUUUUUUUUGUUUUUUUUUACAGCUGGUUACAUGUACCACGAUCCUUUGUCUUUUGGUUGUGUUUUUUUUUUUUUUUUUUUUACUUAAAAUUCCCUUUCAUGUGGAUCCCUGUAAUAAUGCUGCAUUAUAACCAAACACACAGAAGAAAGCAGAGCAUUCUCAAAGAAUCACAGCUAUACUUAUACAAGGAACAGCAGUAAUUAGAUGCUAUAUUAAUUCUGCCAAAGGUAGGAAUUUAUAUCCUUAUAGAUUUGUUUUUUGUGCCACGCUUUAGUAACCCACGGUGGGUGGAUUAUCAUUAAUAGUUAUUUAUUUCAGUUUCAUACAGCUUCCUUUUAUGUUCAUUGUCCAGGCUAAUCUACACUUUUAUUUAAUACACUACUUGGUUCUACUGAAUAAUAUGCCCCACGGCAUUCAAUAAACCCGAGCAGUGGAGGAGGUGAGAACGCCAUUCAUUUCUAACUUUGCCAUAAAUUUGUCUGGAAACCAGUUCAAUAUCAGUGCAGGGAUAAUAUACUGUAGAUCCCGCCAUCCUGUUAGAUUGUAAGACGUAACGGAAAUGUACAACACCAAGUGGAGAAUGCAAAUUGACAAGAAUCAGGACUGAAAUGAAGAUUGUCUGGGUGCUGAUGUAGAUCCCGUCAUAACUAUGAAAAAUUUCUGUAUUCCAAAAAUAUUACAUAUACAAAUAUCAUAUUCUUACUAAAUGGAUGUGCUUUUAGUUGUAUAAAUGUUGUGGAAAUUAGAGAUAAGGUGACUGAUGCUUUAUGAAAACUUAAAACAAUCAUAAACCCUUUACAAGUAUAUUGAAUCCAAUCAAGAGCACCACUAAAUAUCAAUUUUGUCGAUGUGUUUUGCUUAAACUGCAGACAAAAAAAUGGUAUAAUGGUCAAAAUAUGAAUCGCCUGCUUUCCUGUCCGCACGGCUCCGAGUGCCGCGAUGCCCUCCGGCAUUCCGUCUGAUGCUGCACACUUGCGUGCAGCGUGUAUAUAUGUGCGACUGAACAAACUGCCUAAUUUGGCGUUCGCCGAACUGAACGCGGGAUUCGGUAGACCGAAUUCGGCGCACAUAAGUGACAUCAGAGGUUAGAUUAGGAAGGUCAAGUACCUUCCAUGAAUAGUGGUCAAUUCUAAGUGGAAAUGGACCAAUCAAAAUUAAGUGAUGCCUAUUUAUACUUGCCUCUCCCAUUCCUUGUUGCCCUGUUGUGAUUUUUGGUAGCCCAAUAGCACGUUCCUUUCAUGAUAUUCAUGUGAUAUAUUUCUGGCUCUUGCCUUACGUUUAUCCUGUCUUCUGUACCCCUUUUGACCUUGGCUUCAUUAUACGGUUUUCCAGUCUUCUCUACUCCAUUUGACCUCAGCUUGUCACUGACUCCACUUGUUCGUUAACCCGGCCAUUCUAAGGACUGGUAUACGGAUUCUCUUUUAGUGAUUCUGUUUGUGUGUUUAGGUUCCAGCAUAUCCUGACAUUACAACAGGGCCAUUAUGGAAUCUACAGACGUAUCACAACAGUUGGCCAUUUGUGGCGCAAGAAUGGACGGAAUUGAUCACCACUUAGAUCAAUUCGCCCAGACCUUGCAGAUUAUCUUGGUGCGUACUUCACAUUUGCAGCCAGACACACAGGACAAUGCUGCUACUCAUGUGGUUACUGCUCCUGAACCUGUUCCUGGUGUAUCAGCACAUACAGUCUGCAUGACACCCCCACAAAGCUGUAGUGGGGAUCCUAUGUUAUGUUGUGGGUUUCUUAACCAAAUAGAUAUCCAUUUGGUUAUGAACCCAUGUUCGUAUCCCAACGACAGGUCAAAAAUAGCAUUUUUGAUCAACCACUUGUCGGAUAGAGCAUUUGCUUGGGCUAAUCAUAUGAGUCUAGUGCCUCUGUAGCAUAUACUUAUGCUGAGUUCCUAUCAGCUUUCAAGAGGACUUGUGACAUGCCAGGCAGAGUUAGUUCUGCAGGUAAAUCCUUGAUGAGGAUCAAACAAGGAAAUAGGUCUGUAGCGGAUUUUGCUAUUGAAUUCAGAACUCUAGCAUCAGAGGUAGUCUGGAAUAAUGAAUCCCUAGUGACAGCCUUUCAGGUAGGUUUAGCCGACUAUAUUCUAGAUGAGAUAGCAUCUAGGGAAUUACCCAGUUAACUAGAAGAGCUCAUCGAUUUUUGUAUUGUUAUAGACAAUCUCAUAAGGGAGAGACAUUUACAUAGGGAGACACAGGAGAAGCUUUUAUUCCCAUCCUGUUCCCAGUUUGCCUUCCCUGUGAUCAGGGCCGGCGCCACCUGUAAGGCGACCUAGGCAGCCGCCUAGGGCGCAACUUAGCAGGGGGCGCCGUAUCCCUGCGCCCGGCGGCUCCUCAUGCUGCACCGCCUGAGCGGUUUUGCAAGCCCCAGGCGGCGCGGCAUUGCUGUGUGGAGGGCGGCCAGGUUUGUGACCGGCAGGAGGGAGGCGCAGAGCGCUCCCUCCUGCCGGUCUCUCAAUGUAGCGUGGGACAGGAACGUCUGUUUCCUGUACCCGGCCGCCGGCGGAAUGACAGGAAGUGCUCACUGAGUGAGCACUUCCCUUCAGUCCGCCGGCGGCCGGGAACAGGAAACAGAGGUUCCUGUCCCGCGUUCCGCGCCGCCCGGCCACGCUACAUAGGCAGGAGGGGGUAAGGACCAUUAGGGGAGGGGUGGGGAGGGACUAAGGACCAUUAGGGGUGGGGGGAGUGGGAGGGAGCAAGGACCAUUAGGGGUGGAGGGGAGUGGGAGGAGGACCAUUAGGGGGGGGGGAGGCGACCAUUAGGGGAUGGGGAGUAAGGACCAUUAGGGGUGGGAGAGAAGACCAUAGGGGUGGGGGGAGAGGAGCAAGGACCAUUAGGGUGGGGAGAGUAAGGAACAGGGGUGGGGGGAGUAAGGACCAUUAGGGGAGGGGGGGGAGGAGUAAGGACCAUUAGGGAGGGGAGGGGGAGCAAGGACCAUUAGGGGUGGGGGAGUAAGGACCAUUAGGGGAGGGGGGAGGGGGAGGGAGCAAGGACCAUUAGGGGUGGGGAGCAAGGACCAUUAGGGAGGGGGAGGGGGAGGGAGUAAGGACCAUGGGUGGAUUGGGGGGGAGAAGACCAUUAGAGGAGGGGAGAAGUGGACCAUUAGGGGAGUGGGGAGGAGUAAGGACCAUUAGGGAGGGGGGAAGGCGACCAUUAGGGAGGGGGGGGGGAGUGGGGGAGUAAGGACCAUGGGAGGGGGGGGAGUAAGGACCAUUAGGGGAGUGGGGGGGAGUAAGGACCACUAAGGGGGAGAAGGACCACCAAAGGGGGGUAAGGAGGGAGGACCACUAAGGGAGGGGGAGGGUAAUGACCACUGAGGGGGGGGGAUUACCACUAAGGGGGUGGGGGGAGGAGGGGAAGGUCUACUAAGGGGUUUGGGAGAGGGAGGACCACUAAGGGAAGGGAUGGAGGACCACUAAGGGAGAGAGGGGGGAGUGAGAAGACCACCAAGGGGGGACUGCAGAGGGACAGGGGGCCAAGGGAGAGCACUAAGGGACAGAAGGGGUAGAACACGGAGGGACAGGAGGGAAGGGGAAAUCAAUAAUUGACUAUGAAAUUUUUUUUAAAAAAUAAAGAGCUGUUCCCCUCUCAGUCCCUAUCCUACCCCACAAACCCUCUCUUUUACACUACACACAAACACAAUGCAUUCCCCCCCCCUACACACACAGAAACAUACAAUGCAUUCCUACUCACACACAGACACACCCGAAACACACAAUGCAUCCCUUACGCUCACACAAACACUCAUUCUCUUACACACAGAAACAAAAUGCAUCUCUUACACAAUCAAUGCACCCCUUACAGACACACACUGCAUUCAAUUACAUACACAGAAACACACCUUGCACCCCUUACACACACAGAAACAUACAAUGCAUUCCUUACACGCAAACACACACUGCAUCCCCUAUAAACACACUACAUCCCUUAUACAAAUUGGUAUCCCUAUACACUACAUUCUAUAAGAACACACACACAUUGCAUCCUCUACAAUAACACAUAAAACAUCCAUUACACACAUACACUACACUUCCUGUGAGAGAACUCAUGGGUGGGCCAUGUAGGUAUUUAUGGGUGGGCAUUGUAGGCAUACUCAUGGUCAAGCCCUGGGGGCCCAGACCUUGAGCUGUGUAAGGGGCCCUAAAAAAUGGAGCUGCUUCCUGUUCGUUAAUUGUUGUGAGCACUGUUAAAAACAGUCUCCAGAGAGCCUCUUCUACACCAGACCUGUGGAGCCAGACUGAGCCCAUCAUCAGCCUCUUGUCCUCAUCUGGUGGUAAGUAGGCAAUCCAAUAUAUUAUUAGUGGCACUAAUCUCACAUUAAAUGGAUACUAUAGUCACCAGAAGCACUACAGCAUAAUGUAGUGGUUCUGGUGUCUAUAGCCUGUGCCUGUAGGCUUUUUAAUGUAAACACACUUUGUGAAGACUGGCGUUGGCCCAUAUGGCCAUUGUGAUGUUACAUGGUGGGCAGGACAUGGGGGGGCGGCAAAUUUUUAUUUGCCUAGGGCGGCAAAAAUCCUUGCACCGGCCCUGCCUGUGAUGCUUGCUUUACCACCACCACCACCAGCAGAACCCAUGCAAUUAGGUGCCACAAAGUUAAUGGAGGCAGAAAAAUCAUACAGGUGAAAGGAGGGUUUAUGUCUCUAUUGCUGCAAAAAGGACACUUGAGAAGCCAUCCGGAAAACUCCAGAAGAUAAGGCCUAGUGAGGGGUCAGCCUUGGGUGCAAUGACAAUAUCCCCUUCUAACAUAAGAACCAGACUCACUAUACCUGUCAUAUUAUAUGUCAAUGAUAAGACCAUCACCACCAAUGCCUUGAUAGAUUCAGGGGCUGUGGAUAAUUUAAUGGACCAGCAUUUUGCUGACAUCGCUGUCUUAUCUCUGAUUCAAAAGGCAACAACCUUGGCCAUUGAGGCCUUAGAUGGUAGACCGUUAGACAAGCCACUUGUCAUGCAUGAAACCCAAGACAUGUUUAUGUCUGUGGGAGUCUGGCACAAUGACCAAAUAAAAUUUCAGAUAUUGCAUUCCCCUUCUUGUCCUAUUGUUCUAAGUUUUACAUGGUUGGUAAUACACAACCCAGUUAUAGAUUGGGAGAGGUCUGAGAUAAUGUCUUGGGGACAAAAAUGUUAUUAAACUGUCUUACACAAGUAUGUCAUGUAUAUGCACUUAACGUACCUACUGCUUCUCCUUUAUCAACUUCCAUACGUCUGCAAUAAGCAGAUCUUGGUGAAGAGAUGGUAUUAUAAAUUGGCUAUCAAUGGUACUUGCAAAAGGCAAUGGAGAUCCCUAAAUAAGGAAGUUUGAGAAUACCUUUUAAGUUGACUUUUAGACCUUCGCUGUCUGAUCAAGAUAUUCUACAGCAAGUGAGGAGUCAGCAUUGUUCUAGACUGAAAAGGAACAGGCCAGGCUUUGACAGGCUGCGAUGUGACUGUGGCACAAAUUCAAACAGGGUUGGACCAGGCAUGAGCAAUGUGUGUGACAGUACAGUUAGUACAUCUAGAACGGAACUGAGCCUUACAGAACUAUGACAUGAAUGGCUGACCAUUAACGACCAGGGGCUAGAAAUAUACUGGGAAGAGGCUAGCGGGUUUCUCAGCAAUACCUUAGUUCAGGUGUAGGCAUCCUUUGACACUCCAGAUGCUGUGGAUGACAUUUCUCCUGAUGCUUUGCCAGCAUUAUGAGUGCAAGGGCAUUAUGGGAGAUGUAGCAUGAUUUUGGAAAAGACUAAUCUUAAAAUGUAAUGAAGAACUGUUUAGGUUGAACAUUGGUAGACAAACUACGAUUUCACAGAUAUGGGGCUGAGGAAAAUGUAGGGAAGGAUGGGCUGCCGCUGUACAUGAAGAACAUGGCGUAGUUACCCAGUGGACACAGAAACUGGAAUACAAUCUGUCUUCAGUUCCAGUGGAUUACACUACGGAACAUGUGCACUACAACAGAUCUAUCCGUUUUUGUAAAGUAAUUGAUAAGAAUGUGCUAGUUAUCUCUGCUGUAGUCUGUACACAGAUCGGUGAUGAGUCUUUUGGAGCUAUUCACUAAACUAGGAAGGAAGGCAACUUUUAGGCCAUUAAACCUGAGCCUGAAAAAUAUGAGUUGGAUAAUUUUUUUCACCUUUGCUAUUUUGGGGUAAAAUUUGGCGUUUGUAAUAUUUCACAAUUCACAGUUUAGUGAGUAGAUAGACUGUCUCUAUGAUCAGACUGGCUGCACAUUGUGGGGAAUCCAUUAUGCAUUUCACAAGCAUUUGCAGUGCUACCGUUUGUCUGUUGCAGAUCCCUGCAUGUAUGAUUCUAUUUUGCUCCCGGAAGCACGCAUUCUCAGUGUGAGGCAGCACAGCAGCCUUUUACAUCUGAAUAUAAUGAAUCUCUAUAUAAAUAUGCAUAAUUUGAACGUAAGGAUGCAACUUAAAGGGGCAACGAAAGCACUUUCAUGAGUGCAUUAAAGAGUUAAAAAAUAUAAUAUGUAAAACACUUUAAGGGACACUCCACGGCCCAAAUAAAAAAAUCACUGUUUAAUAGAUAUUGAAACAUGCAUGCAUUUAAUAAUGUCUAAAAACAGCCUGCAAAACCUGCAUAUUUCUUGUCUACAGCCUUUGCAAACCCUCCCCUUCUAACCCAGUCCAGACUUUCUCUGGCUGUCCAAUCACAGAUUUCCAAUGCAGCUCAUUGAGAAGUCUUUGCAUGGCAGGUACUCUGGGCAAUUGUCUGCCUCUUGAGUUUAGCUCCACUGAUGUACUCCAGAAUGUAACAGGACCGGUUGUCUGGUUGAAAACUGGAAAGGUAGAGGGGGUGUAACAAGGCUAAUUUAUAAACGUGUCAAUUUCUAGUAAAAUCUGCACUAUUUGUAAAAUGGAAAAAAGAGGACAUGUUUUUAAAGAAAAAAGGCUGCAACAAGCAGGAAUCCCUCAUUCUCAUCUAUAGCGUUUAAUCUUAUCCUAUAAUCCGUUGCUCAGUAGGGGAUUGGCAAUUCCGCUAAUUAUGCAGGAUGAGCGGAACUGGUCAAUAAACUAAUAGCAGCUGUAUCACAACUGCUAUUUGUAAAUACCCAGUCAGGGUAACAGUACAUAAAAAGAUAUGCCGACUCCAGGUUGCAGGGUGAUAACUUCAAUGGUUUUUGCAAAUGCUGCAGUUAUAUCACCUUGGGCAGAGAGACGGGGUGCAGAAUAUUCUUUAAACCAAUAAUGCAAUGUUGUUGUUAUGAUAAUUGCGAUAACCAUUUAAAUGUUAGAAAAAUAUAAGGUUAAUUAAUAGGUCAGAUGGCAUACAACGUAAUUUGAAUAAGUCAGUAUACAUGUAAUAGUGACUGAAUUUCAUCUUCUUUAUAUACAACAUACAAAAAUACAUACUCCAGUAUUCUACGAAUAAAUAGUAUACAAUGCAUUAAAAAUUAAUGUUUAAAACAAUACCAUAAGAUUACUAGUACAUGCAAGGUGCAUUUUGCUCAGUGCUUCGUCAGUACUUAAAUUUUAAAUAUAGUUCCUUAAAAUAAUUUUUUUCUCUUCAUCACUAGUCAUUUCCACUAUGCUGUCACAUUCUGUACUGUAUUGUGAGGUAGUGACUUUAUUGCUACCAUAUGAUGAAGUGAAAUGGUUGCCAUAACAACAUUGGAACAUAAACAAUAGUAACUAUAGACUAUUAAAUGGGUUUAUUAUGUAGAACCAAAGAUAAUGGUCAAUUACAGAAUAGAUCCAUGAUUUAAUUGUGCUGUAUAAAUACGUACAUCCGAAUGAAAAUAGUAUUACUUAUGUAUAUUGAUUAAUUCUUAUUUUAUAUUAGGUAUAAAUUUUAUGCCAUAAUAAAUACAUAAUACAUACAAUUCAUAUCCAUCCUAUUAUACGAUAUGCACAUAUCACCUGCCAGGACAAUAAACCAAGAAUGUUAAUUAAAAUAGUAAAAACAGACAUACAUAUCACACAAUACAAUUUUUUUAAUCCAUGUUGGUACCAACUUAGAAAGCAUAAACAUACGUAAUAUGCAAAAAAUUAUUUAAAAAAAAAAAUAAGCAAAAAGAAAAAAGUAUAAAAGAUCCAAUAAUUAAUAUUUUUGUUUACAGAGAAAAUACCUUUUAAAAUGGAAGGAAAAAUACAAAAAUAGAAGAGAAAAAAGACGAGAAUUCGGUGGAAUGUAGGAAGUGAUUAAUAAAAAUUGCAUACAUCGAAAAUCGCUGUUCAAACCAUUUCCUUCCUUGAUUUUUUUUUUUUCUUUCUUUUUUUUUUUUUUAAAUCAAACAGUUACAUGAAAUUUGUUUAAAGAUACAGAAUUUGUUGUAGCUUAUAAAGCUGGUAGACAUUGAGAAUUAUGUUUAAAAAAUGAUGUGUUCAUGUAAAAUUUUUUACAGUUUUGUACACAUACACCAUUGUACUGUGUAUAAAACUGUUACUCUCUUUUUACAUUGGCUAAUUUUUUUCUUACUUUUUUCUGUAGUGCGUAAAAAUAAUCAGUUUGUCGACUGCUUUUUUUCCUUCUGAUUCUUUUACCAUUUAUUAAAUUUACAAAAUAAAACAAAUGAUUAAUAUUACUAGAAAAAAUGUGCAUCACAAUCUGAAGCAUUUUUAAUAUGUUAAACAAAACUGAAAAUAGUGAAAGAUGCUAACCUGUUUCAAGAAUCUCAAAACUCUGAUGGUGAUGGAAACAUUUGUUGGAGAGAAAGGCUCACCAAAAUGUAAGAGGAAAAUAAAAUGGUGGAAGAGGUACCCUAAAUAAGGGAAUAAAUAGGCAAAAGUGGGCAAAAUGCAUACAAAGUGUCCAGUGCAUUCCCAAUAUGUAUUUAAACUCUUUAAUAAUGUUAUGGAUAUGUUUCUCUCUUCCUACCAACCAUCGAUCCAUUCAUUCGUCCAUCUAUUCAUAUUAAAGGCAUACUACAGGCACCUAGACCACUUCAUCUCAUUAAAGUGGUCUGGGUGCAGUGGCCCUGUCCCCUUAACCCUGAAGCUGAAGACAUUGCAGUUUUAGAGAAACUGCAAUGUUUCCAUUGCCUACCAGACAGCCACUAGAGGCACUUCAUGGAUAUUUAUGGCGUUUAACUCCGUGAAAUAACGCUGGACUUUCUAACGCUUUGCAUGACGAUGUCCAGUAUCUUGCAAAGCCCCUAGGAAGCCAGUAAUUCAAAGCUUUCCUAUGUAAAAAAGGCCUUAUGGGCACAUGUUUUUUGCCAUGCAUGCACAUUAUGUUAUCCCUCACGCUGACGUCAGAGGAAGUGGAGACAGAGCCAUCACAAAGUGUCCUUGGCACUGGUAUCAGUCAAGUGUUUAAAGGGUUUUUAACUCUUUGAUUACUGGAGGGGGAGGGGAACCACAGGGGCAGAGGGACUCAAUAGUGUUAGGAAUAUAGCUUUGUAUUCCGGUCACUAUAGUGUUCCUUUAAAAAAAAUUUUUUUGUGUUUUUUUUAUAGUAGGUCCACACUAUAGUUUAGCAUUAUAGUUUAUCCAGUUAUUUAAACUAUAUUUUAAUCAGGUUUUUCUUUCUUUAACCCAUUCAAUUCUUUAACCCAUCCAAAAUGCCUGGUAUUUAUCAAAUCUUGGCUGCUACAUAAUGCAGAACUAUACCAUUAAUGAAUACUACAGGAUAGUGCUGAGGUCAUAUAUAAUCUUUCUGAAUAAAGGGGUGAGGGAUCUGCAUAGGAAAUGUUAUGUGUCGUUAAAGCUUUUUGGAUAUAGCAAACCUAUUUAAGAAAAAACAAAUAUUGUGUCCUAAUUAUCACAAUCCAAUUAGAUAAAACUACUGGCAUUCCUAUAUUACAUGCCAAAAUGAGAUCACGAGUUUACAAGUAAACUAAGCAAGUGUACAACAUUACUGCAUUUCCAGGAAAUAUCUCAUUUUGAACAAAUGCAGUAUUGUUAAUCACUCUUUAAAACGGGGUGCCUAUAUAUCUAUACAUAUAUAUUAAAAAAAAAAAAGACUGUCGCAACGUUCCCUUUGAUGGGUGAAAUUUACAAGAUUUACAUACACACAAAAUAUGACCCCAAAAUGCACUUGCAGACAAGAAUUAAAAAAAAUUGCAGAGGGACAGUGGAACAGUGCGACAGCCAUUAGGUGGCGCUACAAACCACAUUUAGAGCUCUGUAGUACUCUGCCGAAUGUAACCUGAUGGAUAUUGGUAAAAGCAAAAUGAAAAGAGAAAAAUGCCACCCGCAGUACAAAGAAGAGCUAAAAUAAAUGAAGCAUGUGAUUGAUGUGUUCGUUCAGGAUCGUAUCCAACACAUAACCUAGUAAAUCUGAGGUUAUUAUGAACAUCAUGCGGCCAUUCAUUUGACAAGGGAAAAAAAAAAAAAGAAGUAGAGGAAGAAUUGGGGGAUGGGCAAAGGUGAAAAUGAGGUCUACUUAACCCUUUCAAUAUCUGGCGGAUGUCAUUGUGCUGUUUUCAACCUGCGAUUCCAUUGACUGCCCUGCGGGUGAGCAAUGCAGGGUCCUAAAAUAAGGACAAUCAGUUUUUCAUCAUGGCAUUAACCUGUUAAGGACUAAACGUUGUACUAUGCCAUUGUGAGAAUCUAAAACAAGAUAAAUUUUGAAUAUAAAUAGCAUUAUGUCACCGUGGAAUUCCCUGUUUAUGAAAUUUCAGUGGCUCUAUAAAACCCAGCAGUCGUUAAUCGAGUGGGUCAUUGUAUUUUGGAAUAGGAUCCUUAUAGAACAGAUUGUUUUGAUGGAAUGUACUCGCCUUGGCCCUUAAGGGGUUAAAUUUAAAGCAUUGGCUCUUACAUCACAGCAAUCUGACGGUUCUGAUCGAUCAUGGCAUUAAAUUAGGGUUGCAAUAUCACUGAUUUCAUUUUUUUUUUUUCCAAGCACGAAUCGAGGCUGUAUUUUAAUAUAAUAUACAGGAGACCAUCUGCAGCCUGCAUGCUUAUCUUCUAUAAUAUAAAAAUACAUAUAAUUAAAUUUGCAUUUUGUCCAACCACCCAUUUCCCCCGACGGAACCCUGAGCUAUGCAUGAUACAUUCAUAUUGCUGAUUAUAAAGGAAAAAGAGAACCUUUUAAUAAAUUAUAUUAUACUUUUGUUUGUAUAGGUUUUCUAAAUCACUAAGACUUAAUUUCUGUUUUUUAACACAUGCUAUUUUUAUUAUUAUUAUUAUCAUCUAUCCUAUGUAUUGAUCUGUUUGUAAGAUAAAAUUAUGAUCAAUGAUUUGUACAUUAGAUCAGCAACAGAGAGGAUAAAGAAUUAAAAACAAAUAAGUAGCCACAAUUUUUAAUUUUUUUAAUUUUUAUGUUCUUCCCAUGCAGCGUUCGAGCAGAAAAUGAAGAAUCUGCAGUUUUUUGAUGAUGCUGACUCAAUAAACACGUCUGUACCUAUAAAGUUCAGUCUCCUGAGACAAAGCCUUGCUUAAGGACAUAAGCACACAUGCGUUUCUCUGUCUGUGUUAUUGAUUUGCAUUGUACCUGUCCCAGUUUGCCUCCUAGCCAAGAUUAAGCAGUCAGCAAGUUUUCUACAUUGGUGUUUUUGUAGAAACUAUUGGGCACUAUUUGGCCUUAAUACUAAAAUUCACUGAACUCCCAAAACGUAAGGCAUAUUUAAAACAUACACAUUGUAUAACAUUCUCUAUGAUGCUUUACCAUUCACUCAAAGAAAUGGAAAGAAAGAAAUGGAGAAUUUAUGAUCCAGGAAAAACAAAAUAAAAAAUAUUCUAAAUAAAAUAAA